UGCUUGCACUAGAAAACUUAGCGGCGAACGGGUGAGUAACACGUAAAGACCUGCCUCAUAGACGGGGACAACUAUUGGAAACGAUAGCUAAUACCGGAUAAUCGCAUGAUAAAAGUUGGUUUCGCUAACACUAUGAGAUGGCUUUGCGGUGCAUUAGCUAGUUGGUGGGGUAAAGGCCUACCAAGGCGACGAUGCAUAGCCGACCUGAGAGGGUGAUCGGCCACACUGGGACUGAGACACGGCCCAGACUCCUACGGGAGGCAGCAGUAGGGAAUCUUCCGCAAUGGGCGAAAGCCUGACGGAGCAACGCCGCGUGAGUGAAGAAGGAUUUCGGUUCGUAAAGCUCUGUUG
rnacentral:rRNA from 1 species